UGCGGCCUGGUAGUUCAGUUGGUUAGAAUGCCAGCCUGUCACGCUGGAGUCGUAGGUUCAAGUCCUGCCUCCGCAACCA
rnacentral:tRNA from 1 species